rnacentral:misc_RNA from 1 species
UCUGUAUCUAAAACAUAGGAUACCUAUCAUGGACAAAUCAUCAAUAGAUUAAUAGAACUCCACAAGCAUAUUAUAUAUUUCAUGCUUCACUGAAUUGGCAUAUACAUCCUGUCAUAUCUACUGCGAAUGCAAAAUUAAAUGGUCAAUUUUUCUUUUGGAAACAAUUAAAUGGUCAAUUUAUAAUGGCAUACUUUGGAGGAAUUGCAUG